rnacentral:rRNA from 1 species
AUUGAACGCUGGCGGCGUGCCUAACACAUGCAAGUCGAGCGGUAACAGGUGUAGCAAUACAUGCUGACGAGCGGCGAACGGGUGAGUAAUGCUUCGGAAUCUACCCAAUGGUGGGGAAUAACCAGCCGAAAGGUUGGCUAAUACCGCAUACGUCCCACGGGAGAAAGCAGGGGAUCGCAAGACCUUGCGCCAAUGGAUGAGCCGAAGUCGGAUUAGCUAGUUGGAGGGUAACGGCCUACCAAGGCGACGAUCCGUAGCUGGUCUGAGAGGACGACCAGCCACACUGGGACUGAGACACGGCCCAGACUCCUACGGGAGGCAGCAGUGGGGAAUAUUGGACAAUGGGGGAAACCCUGAUCCAGCGACGCCGCGUGUGUGAAGAAGGCCUGCGGGUUGUAAAGCACUUUU